rnacentral:rRNA from 1 species
GACGAACGCUGGCGGCGUGCUUAACACAUGCAAGUCGAACGGAAAGGCCCUGCUUUUGUGGGGUGCUCGAGUGGCGAACGGGUGAGUAACACGUGAGUAACCUGCCCUUGACUUUGGGAUAACUUCAGGAAACUGGGGCUAAUACCGGAUAGGAGCUCCUGCUGCAUGGUGUGGGUUGGAAAGUUUCGGCGGUUGGGGAUGGACUCGCGGCUUAUCAGCUUGUUGGUGGGGUAGUGGCUUACCAAGGCUUUGACGGGUAGCCCGCCUGAGAGGGUGACCGGCCACAUUGGGACUGAGAGACGGCCCAGACUCGUACGGGAGGCAGCAGUGGGGAAUAUUGCACAAUGGGCGGAAGCCUGAUGCAGCAACGCCGCGUGCGGGAUGACGGCCUUCGGGUUGUAAACCGCUUUCGCAUGUGACGAAGCGUGAGUGACGGUAAUGGGUAAAGAAGCACCGGCUAACUACGUG